rnacentral:rRNA from 1 species
UACGGAGGAUGCAAGCGUUAUCCGGAAUGAUUGGGCGUAAAGCGUCCGCAGGUGGCUAUGUAAGUCUGCUGUUAAAGAGUGAGGCUCAACCUCAUAAGAGCAGUGGAAACUACAUGGCUAGAGUGCGUUCGGGGCAGAGGGAAUUCCUGGUGUAGCGGUGAAAUGCGUAGAGAUCAGGAAGAACACCGGUGGCGAAAGCGCUCUGCUAGGCCGCAACUGACACUCAUGGACGAAAGCUAGGGGAGCGAAUGGG